AUAUAUAAUGAUACAUUCUAUAAAAUUAGAAUGAUAUAGAGAAGAUUAGCAUGCCCCCUAUGCAAGGAUGACACACAUAAAUUGAGAAAUGGUCCAAAUUUUA